rnacentral:sRNA from 1 species
UUUUGAAUUAAUAAUCUCUCUCUCUUUUUUGUUUUGUAAACAUGCGGAUCUAAAAAUAUUUAUUAAAUAUUAUUAAUUAUCUUUGAAUUCAGAAUGAUUACCCGCACAUUUUUUUGUAAUUUUAUUUGGUAAAUAAUUUUAGAAACUGGAUUUAAUUUGAGAAACUUUUUGAAUGAAUUUCAGUAUACGUGACCACACUUCUAUCAAUAUGUUAUAAUUAUUGAAUAAUUUAAAUAAUUAAAAAGAGUUUUU